rnacentral:lncRNA from 1 species
AUGAGCAGUCCAGCAAGUAUUUCAAAGGCUCUGCCGUGUGUCAGGAUGGCUAAGACAAGACCCUGUCUACAAAGAGCUCUCACUCUGAUGGACGCAGACAGGGAGGUAAAGGAGGUACUGUGUGGAUCUCCGGGUUCCAGUGUUGUGGCUAUGGUAGUGGGGGCCCAGGGCAGGGGAGCCAAGGCAGGUUCUACAGCGCAAGAAGUACUGAAGGACAAAGAGGAUGUUCGAAGGCUGCCACUGUGCUUGAGAGAAGCCCCGGACGGCAGGCUCUUUCUCCCACAAUUCUUGCUAUUUUCUUUCCUCUCAGUCCUCCGGGCCAAGGACUCCCCUCCAUCUCUCAAAAACAUAAGCAGACUCUCCCCCACCUCUGAUGCCUUUGCAAACCUAACCCCCACUCCCACCCCAACUCUAUCUGCACCCCCCCAAGGUGAGCUCGAUGCCAGCUCCUCUAUGAAAACUUUCUGGCCUGUCCAGAUUGCUCACACUCUAUCAUGUUGUCUAUGUCUCUCUUGUGUCUUAACCUCUGCAGGUCCACUACACUGAAUGUCCUCUCAGGAGGGCGCUGCAUGGCCAGCUCUGUUCCUACUUCCACCAAACCAGGAUCUAGCCCACAGCCUUGAGUCCAGUUAGUGCGCGGCACAUACUGAUGUCUCUUUCUCCACUAAUUUGCGCCCUGCUGGUCAUCCAGCUUUCCCUGGUUCUUGUUUUUAGGUCUGUGUAUCUUAUGCCAGUUCUACUGUGUAACAUCUGCACACUUGAGCCCUAAGAUUCAUUUGUAGCUGCCGUACAUUUUAUACCUUCUGGGACUGGCACAGCCAGUGCGAAGCUAAUGCCUGCUGUCUGCACCCCAGGAAGCCCUCCCUCAGAGGUGGAGGAGGAUGCACACAGCGCCAGGAGGC